rnacentral:snRNA from 1 species
AGCUAUUGCAGUUCUUUUAGAAUUUGUCUUGUGGGUUUUCUGACCAAAGUCAGAAUUUUUCUAUCAGGUUUUCUGACUUUGGUGGGAAAACCCAA